GGGCCUGUAGCUCAUAUGGAAGAGCACCGCCUCGGCAGGGCGGAGGAGGCCGGUUCGAGUCCGGUCAGGUCCAC
rnacentral:tRNA from 1 species